rnacentral:rRNA from 1 species
CAAUGGGGCAGCCCUACACAUGCAAGUCGAGCGAGCUCUUCGGAGCUAGCGGCGGACGGGUUAGUAACGCGUGGGAACGUGCCCUUCACUGCGGAAUAGCCACUGGAAACGGUGAGUAAUACCGCAUACGCCCUUCGGGGGAAAGAUUUAUCGGUGAAGGAUCGGCCCGCGUUAGAUUAGAUAGUUGGUGGGGUAACGGCCUACCAAGUCUACGAUCUAUAGCUGGUUUUAGAGGAUGAUCAGCAACACUGGGACUGAGACACGGCCCAGACUCCUACGGGAGGCAGCAGUGGGGAAUCUUGGACAAUGGGCGCAAGCCUGAUCCAGCCAUGCCGCGUGAGUGAUGAAGGCCUUAGGGUCGUAAAGCUCUUUCGCCAGAGAUGAUAAUGACAGUAUCUGGUAAAGAAACCCCGGCUAACUCCGUGCCAGCAGCCGCGGUAAUACGGAGGGGGUUAGCGUUGUUCGGAAUUACUGGGCGUAAAGCGCACGUAGGCGGAUCAGAAAGUUGGGGGUGAAAUCCCGGGGCUCAACCCCGGAACUGCCUCCAAAACUCCUGGUCUUGAGUUCGAGAGAGGUGAGUGGAAUUCCGAGUGUAGAGGUGAAAUUCGUAGAUAUUCGGAGGAACACCAGUGGCGAAGGCGGCUCACUGGCUCGAUACUGACGCUGAGGUGCGAAAGUGUGGGGAGCAAACAGGAUUAGAUACCCUGGUA